ACUGCCAGGAGUCCUAAGGCCUGGAGGGAGGAGGUGGAUGAGAGAGACCCUGAGAUGAGAAGGGUCUUCAGCAGCUAUUCGGGAGGCAGCAGUGAGGAGAAGAAAGGAAGGCUCGAGCACUGAAAACCAACAGAAACACAGAUUAAUUACAGUAGAAUUUACUGGGAUCCAAAGAGAAGCAAAUUUCUGAAGUUAUGAACUAGAGGACUCAACUCUUGCAUCCAUCAUAUUGUAAAGACAUCUAAUGAGGACAUCAAUGCAUCAUUACUAGUGAUGGGAAAUGGCUGUGCUAAGGAAUAUAUACCUAUGAUAUUCAGUCUGACAGACUUACCCUCCAGAGCGUGUCACCAAGUGAUGAAUUGUGCCAGAAUUGUAUCCUGGAAUCUCUUCAUUUCUUUUCACCCGUGAAGCAGUUUUUCUGGAUAUAGAAUAGAUCCCACUGCCUUCCGGUCUUCGUAAUUUCUGACAAGGAAUCUUGUGUUAAUCCUACAGAGUAUUUCCCAAAGAUGAUGAGUUGUUUCCCUGAUUUUUUUUCACUAUUUAAUUUUAAAUUUGUGUGACUGUGUGUGUCCCUGCUUAUGUGUCUAUGCACCAUAUGCAUGCCAGUGACCAUGCAAACCAGAAGAGGACAUUGGAUUCCCUGGCACUGGAGUUGCAAGCCAUUGUGAGCUGCCCAAUGUGGGUGUUUAGAAUGAAACCUAGGUCCUCUACAAGAACAAUAAAUAAACUCUCAGCUUUUGAGAUA